rnacentral:rRNA from 1 species
UAGGGAAUCUUCCACAAUGGACGAAAGUACUGAUGGAGCAACGCCGCGUGAGUGAAGAAGGGUUUCGGCUCGUAAAGCUCUGUUGUUAAAGAAGAACAUAUCUGAGAGUACUGUUCAGGUAUUGACGGUAUUUAACCAGAAAGCCACGGCUAACUACGUGCCAC